rnacentral:rRNA from 1 species
GAUGCCCUGGCAGUCAGAGGCGAUGAAGGACGUGCUAAUCUGCGAUAAGCGUCGGUAAGGUGAUAUGAACCGUUAUAACCGGCGAUUUCCGAAUGGGGAAACCCAGUGUGUUUCGACACACUAUCAUUAACUGAAUCCAUAGGUUAAUGAGGCGAACCGGGGGAACUGAAACAUCUAAGUACCCCGAGGAAAAGAAAUCAACCGAGAUUCCCCCAGUAGCGGCGAGCGAACGGGGAGCAGCCCAGAGCCUGAAUCAGUGUGUGUGUUAGUGGAAGCGUCUGGAAAGGCGUGCGAUACAGGGUGACAGCCCCGUACACAAAAAUGCACAUGCUGUGAGCUCGAUGAGUAGGGCGGGACACGUGGUAUCCUGUCUGAAUAUGGGGGGACCAUCCUCCAAGGCUAAAUACUCCUGACUGACCGAUAGUGAACCAGUACCGUGAGGGAAAGGCGAAAAGAACCCCGGCGAGGGGAGUGAAAAAGAACCUGAAACCGUGUACGUACAAGCAGUGGGAGCACGCUUAGGCGUGUGACUGCGUACCUUUUGUAUAAUGGGUCAGCGACUUAUAUUCUGUAGCAAGGUUAACCGAAUAGGGGAGCCGAAGGGAAACCGAGUCUUAACUGGGCGUUAAGUUGCAGGGUAUAGACCCGAAACCCGGUGAUCUAGCCAUGGGCAGGUUGAAGGUUGGGUAACACUAACUGGAGGACCGAACCGACUAAUGUUGAAAAAUUAGCGGAUGACUUGUGGCUGGGGGUGAAAGGCCAAUCAAACCGGGAGAUAGCUGGUUCUCCCCGAAAGCUAUUUAGGUAGCGCCUCGUGAAUUCAUCUCCGGGGGUAGAGCACUGUUUCGGCAAGGGGGUCAUCCCGACUUACCAACCCGAUGCAAACUGCGAAUACCGGAGAAUGUUAUCACGGGAGACACACGGCGGGUGCUAACGUCCGUCGUGAAGAGGGAAACAACCCAGACCGCCAGCUAAGGUCCCAAAGUCAUGGUUAAGUGGGAAACGAUGUGGGAAGGCCCAGACAGCCAGGAUGUUGGCUUAGAAGCAGCCAUCAUUUAAAGAAAGCGUAAUAGCUCACUGGUCGAGUCGGCCUGCGCGGAAGAUGUAACGGGGCUAAACCAUGCACCGAAGCUGCGGCAGCGACGCUGAUGCGUUGUUGGGUAGGGGAGCGUUCUGUAAGCCUGCGAAGGUGUGCUGUGAGGCAUGCUGGAGGUAUCAGAAGUGCGAAUGCUGACAUAAGUAACGAUAAAGCGGGUGAAAAGCCCGCUCGCCGGAAGACCAAGGGUUCCUGUCCAACGUUAAUCGGGGCAGGGUGAGUCGACCCCUAAGGCGAGGCCGAAAGGCGUAGUCGAUGGGAAACAGGUUAAUAUUCCUGUGCUUGGUGUUACUGCGAAGGGGGGACGGAGAAGGCUAUGUUGGCCGGGCGACGGUUGUCCCGGUUUAAGCGUGUAGGCUGGUUUUCCAGGCAAAUCCGGAAAAUCAAGGCUGAGGCGUGAUGACGAGGCACUACGGUGCUGAAGCAACAAAUGCCCUGCUUCCAGGAAAAGCCUCUAAGCAUCAGGUAACAUCAAAUCGUACCCCAAACCGACACAGGUGGUCAGGUAGAGAAUACCAAGGCGCUUGAGAGAACUCGGGUGAAGGAACUAGGCAAAAUGGUGCCGUAACUUCGGGAGAAGGCACGCUGAUAUGUAGGUGAAGUCCCUCGCGGAUGGAGCUGAAAUCAGUCGAAGAUACCAGCUGGCUGCAACUGUUUAUUAAAAACACAGCACUGUGCAAACACGAAAGUGGACGUAUACGGUGUGACGCCUGCCCGGUGCCGGAAGGUUAAUUGAUGGGGUCAGCGCAAGCGAAGCUCUUGAUCGAAGCCCCGGUAAACGGCGGCCGUAACUAUAACGGUCCUAAGGUAGCGAAAUUCCUUGUCGGGUAAGUUCCGACCUGCACGAAUGGCGUAAUGAUGGCCAGGCUGUCUCCACCCGAGACUCAGUGAAAUUGAACUCGCUGUGAAGAUGCAGUGUACCCGCGGCAAGACGGAAAGACCCCGUGAACCUUUACUAUAGCUUGACACUGAACAUUGAGCCUU